AAUUUAGUACAAUGGGCGCAAGCCUGAUCCAGCCAUGUUGCGCGAGUGAAGAAGGACUUCGGGUUGUAAAGCUCUUUCGGACGGAAAGAAAUCGCGCAGCCUCAUACCCUGCGCGGAUGACGCUACCGUCAUAAAAAGCACCGGCUAACUACGUGCCAGCAGCCGCGGUACUACGUAGGGUGCGAGCGUUAAUCGGAAUUAUUGGGCGUAUAGCGUGCGCAGGCUGUUGAUUAAGACAGGCGUGAAAUCCCCGGGCUUAACCUGGGAACUGCGCUUGUGACUGGUCAGAUAGAGUACGGCAGGGGGGAGUGGAAUUCCACGUGUAGCAGUGAAAUGCGUAGAGAUGUGGAAGAACACCGAUGGCGAAGGCAGCCCCCUGAGCCGAUACUGACGCUCAUGCACGAAAGCGUGAGUAGCAAACAGG
rnacentral:rRNA from 1 species